rnacentral:rRNA from 1 species
CCUGACGCAGCGACGCCGCGUGGAGGAUGACGCAUUUCGGUGUGUAAACUCCUUUUAUCAAGGAAGAAAAUGACGGUACUUGAUGAAUAAGCACCGGCUAACUCCGUGCCAGCAGCCGCGGUAAUACGGAGGGUGCAAGCGUUAUUCGGAAUCACUGGGCGUAAAGGACGCGUAGGCGGGAUACCAAGUCUGAUGUGAAAUCCUAUGGCUUAACCAUAGAACUGCAUUGGAAACUGGUGACCUAGAGUAUGGGAGGGGGAGAUGGAAUUAGUGGUGUAGGGGUAAAAUCCGUAGAUAUCACUAGGAAUACCCAAAGCGAAGGCGAUCUCCUGGAACAAUACUGACGCUAAGGCGUGAAAGCGUGGGGAGCAAACGGGAUUAGAUACCCCGGUAGUCCACGCCCUAAACGAUGUUCACUAGUCGUCGGAAUGCUAGUCAUUUCGGUGAUGCACUUAACAGAUUAAGUGAACCGCCUGGGGAGUACGGUCGCAAGAUUAAAACUCAAAUGAAUUGACGG